rnacentral:rRNA from 1 species
CCUACGGGUGGCUGCAGUGGGGAAUAUUGGACAAUGGGGGCAACCCUGAUCCAGCCAUGCCGCGUGUGUGAAGAAGGCCCUCGGGUUGUAAAGCACUUUCAGUGAGGAAGAACGCCUGGUGGUUAAUACCCAUCAGGAAAGACAUCACUCACAGAAGAAGCACCGGCUAACUCCGUGCCAGCAGCCGCGGUAAUACGGAGGGUGCGAGCGUUAAUCGGAAUUACUGGGCGUAAAGCGCGCGUAGGUGGCUUGAUAAGCCGGUUGUGAAAGCCCCGGGCUCAGCCUGGGAACGGCAUCCGGAACUGUCAAGCUAGAGUGCAGGAGAGGAAGGUAGAAUUGCCGGUGUAGCGGUGAAAUGCGUAGGGAUCGGGAGGAAUACCAGUGGCGAAGGCGGCCUUCUGGACUGAAACUGACACUGAGGUGCGAAAGCGUGGGUAGCGAACAGGAUUAGAUACCCAAGUAGUA